rnacentral:rRNA from 1 species
UACGUAGGGUGCGAGCGUUAAUCGGAAUUACUGGGCGUAAAGCGUGCGCAGGCGGUUUUGUAAGACAGAUGUGAAAUCCCCGGGCUUAACCUGGGACCUGCAUUUGUGACUGCAAGACUAGAGUGCGGCAGAGGGGGGUAGAAUUCCACGUGUAGCAGUGAAAUGCGUAGAUAUGUGGAGGAAUACCGAUGGCGAAGGCAGCAAACUGGAACGUUUCUGACGCUGAAACGCGAAAGCGUAGGUAGCGAAUGGG